ACUCCAGACCAGAAGGUGGCGUCCUUUCUGUCUUUAUACUUAAACUCCGCCAGGACGCAGCAGAAGAAGAAGGAACAGGAAGUGUGUUUGUUAUGUGUGGCUCGUGACUUCGGAGCCAACAUGUCCGCCACAGAGGAUGAUACUGAACUCAGAGACCUGCUGCUUCACAACCUGGACAACAGCGGAGUCCUCAACAAGAUCAAGGCUGAAAUGAGGGCGGCUGUGUUUCUGGCCCUGGAGGAGCAGGACAGAGUGGAGAAUAAAACGUCUCUGGUCAAUGAAAACCUGAAGAAAUGUCUCAGCACAAGAGAUGGUGAGUUUCAUUUCGUGUGUGUGUGUGUGUGUGUGUG